UAUUAAAAAUUUCAUCCAUUUCUACUAUUAAAAACUGGCGUGACCAAUGGAAUAAUCAAAUAGUUACAGUAAAGGCGUGUCGCGUGUAUCUCAUGCUAACGUACGAGACCAAUUUUUAACCCUAGAAAUGGAUGAAAAUUUUAACA
rfam:Gossypium raimondii Chr03_contig_79, whole genome shotgun sequence.